UUGAACGCUGGCGGAAUGCUUUACACAUGCAAGUCGAACGGCAGCACGGGGGCAACCCUGGUGGCGAGUGGCGAACGGGUGAGUAAUACCUAGGAACAUGUCCAGUAGUGGGGGAUAACGCAGCGAAAGCUGUGCUAAUACCGCAUACGCCCUAUGGGGGAAAGCGGGGGACCUUCGGGCCUCGCGCGAUUGGAGCGGCUGAUGUCGGAUUAGCUAGUUGGUGAGGUAAAGGCUCACCAAGGCGACGAUCCGUAGCUGGUCUGAGAGGACGACCAGCCACACUGGAACUGAGACAAGGUCCAGACUCCUACGGGAGGCAGCAGUGGGGAAUUUUGGACAAUGGGGGCAACCCUGAUCCAGCCAUUCCGCGUGAGUGAAGAAGGCCUUCGGGUUGUAAAGCUCUUUCGGCAGGAACGAAACGGUGGUCCUUAAUACGGGCUACUAAUGACGGUACCUGAAGAAGAAGCACCGGCUAACUACGU
rnacentral:rRNA from 1 species